CAGUAGCCACGGGAACACGUAGGGUGCAAGCGUUAAUCGGAAUUACUGGGCGUAAAGCGUGCGCAGGCGGUUUUAUAAGUCUGAUGUGAAAUCCCCGGGCUCAACCUGGGAACUGCAUUGGAGACUGUAAGGCUAGAGUGUGUCAGAGGGGGGUAGAAUUCCACGUGUAGCAGUGAAAUGCGUAGAUAUGUGGAGGAAUACCGAUGGCGAAGGCAGCCCCCUGGGAUAACACUGACGCUCAUGCACGAAAGCGUGGGGAGCAAACAGGAUUAGAUACCCCCGUAGUCCCUGUCUCUUAUAC
rnacentral:rRNA from 1 species